CAAUACUUUGCGGGAGCGGUCCUCCUCUCUAUCUUUAAUCCAAGUCCUAACCUCUAUUCCCUAUUCUGUUUUAUUGAGGCCUACCAUUCCUUCAUUGUUUCUUAUAACUUGUACCAUAUCUUCAUUGUUUCUUAGAACUUGUAUCUUUGGCAGGAGGACCCUGCUCUAGUUAUCUCAAUACAAAAUUAACUCUCUCUGAGCUUUUUGAUUGGUAAAGAUUAGAAAAAGAAAAUUAUUACAACGUCAAAACAUUUAUAGAGAAAGGUAGUGGUACAAUCAUCACUAUUCAUUGUGGGUGGCAAGAAAAGUUAUUACAACAUCAAAACAUUUGCAGAGGAAGGUUUGUAAAGGAUGUCUCACCUUUUUUGCCCAUCAAGGUAGUGGUACAACCAUCACUAUUCAUUGUGAGUGGCAAGAACACUCUUACAAAUUUUCAUUUUAGACAAAACCUUGCUGCUACACACUCUGAAUGUGAAAUCAGUGACCGACCAUCAAGCAAAAAUAAGCACAAUCUUUGUCAUUUCAAAAGUCUGCAAAAUCUACUUUGGUGAAGUGGAAUUUAUCUAUGCAAGAUGUUUGGAAAACUCACAUAUCUAAACAAAUAGGCCCAUCCUGCAAAACCAUUUAGAAAGGCGAGCUUUCUCCGUUAUGAUCAACUUACCAUACUAGUAAAAGGUAAGUCUUUCUAUUGUAUUAAUAAUAUUUAUUUUACACUACAAUUCUUAUUAGAAUAUGACAUUUUAUGCCUAUAGGUAAACAUGCCACAUGGAAACGGCAAUUAUUGACUGUUUGUCAAGAGUCAUUAGAAGAUGACAUAAGUGAAUAUGAAAAUUCAGCAAAGUCCACAAUCAGACCCACAUUAUAAUGUAAAUGAGAAUGAUUUGAGCUCUUCAGAUAAUAUGCCUAUGGUAUGCAUACAUGGAAGAAAUACUUAAAGGUUAUAGGGAACGAUGCCUUCAAGUUUGUCGUAUGGAGUUAAAUGUAUUUCAAAACUUUUGUGAGAUUCUUCAAAGUAGACAUCUUCUGAAUGAUACUCGAGGUGUAAAGGUUGAAGAACAGUUGGCAAUGUUCUUAUACAUCAUGGGGAAGAGCUCAAACAAUUGCACAGUCCAAGACCGGUUCCAAUACUUAGGUAAAACUGUUAGUCGCCAUUUUGAGAGAGUUCUCACUGCAAUAUAUAAAUUACCAUUCGAUUAUGUUCAUCUAACUUCAAGUAGCACACCUCCAGAAAUUUGCAAAAAAAACAUGUAUUAUCCUUUUUUCAAUGUAUUUAUUUUAAAUUUAUGUAUCUUUCGAUAAUUUUGGGAAAUUGAUGAUUAAUUUUAAAUGAAGUUUUCUUGCUUUACUUUUUGAAGAAUUGCAUUGGGGCAAUAGACGGUACCCAUAUUCAUUUGAGUAUUGGUAUUGAAGAGCAAGCUCCAUAUUAGACUAGGAAAGGCUUUUUAUCACAAAAUGUAAUGGCAGCUUGUUCUUUUGACAUUCGCUUUGUAUAUGUACUUGCUGGGUGGGAGGGAUCACCAUCGGAUUCUUCUGCUUUAAAGCUGCACUAAAAUCUGGUUUCAAGA